rnacentral:rRNA from 1 species
GCUUACGGCCAUACCACCCUGAACAUGCCCGAUCUCGUCCGAUCUUGGAAGCUAAGCAGGGUCGGGCCUGGUUAGUACUUGGAUGGGAGACCACCUGGGAAUACCAGGUGCUGUAAGCU